ensembl:snRNA U6 U6 spliceosomal RNA
GUGUUUGCUUAGGAAACUCGUCUAUUAAAAUCAGAACAAUACUGAGAAGAUUUCCAUGGACCUUGCAAAAAGGAUGACAUGCAAUUUCAUAAAACAUCCCAUAUUUUA